AAUUAUUCGCUUUAGGGUAACUAAUUUGUUAAACAGCUAAAACAUAUUUUAGCCAUAACUAAUUAUAACUACUACCUAUUAAAAUUCGAUUUUUAUAUCGAUAUCGAAAAUGACUAGGCCUCCCAAGUCUUAAUUUAUCAAAUUUCGAUUCUAGCCGUUAACCAACUAAAAUUCGCCUUACUUCUCUUAUGCACAAUCGGCUAGUUUUGAUCUAAUGGUUAUCUAAUUAACUAAUUAACUAAUUCUAAUUUAUUCUUUCUCCUCAAAUCACCUAGUCAUAAUAAUAAUCAUGUAAUUUAUUUGACAAUGUUCUAAACUAAUUUACAAUUAGUUUAUUCUAAAGUCCUAAACCAGUUAACAAAUCAUGUUCGCUAUCCAAAUACGCACACUAAUCAAUCUAAUUUAUUUACAAAAGACUAUAAAUGUUCAUAUAUUUUUAAGUUAAUCCAAUAAGUUAAUUUCUUGUUAUUAUUUUUUUUUUAGUUAAUUCAAUAAGUUAAUAUCUUGUUAUUCAAUUUAGUCUAUUUCAUAACUCGAUUAAAUUCAUUAGUCAAUUAAUUCUUUAUAUAUAUAAAAAUUAAGAAUUUAAUCUUAGAACAUACCCAUUGGGAAUCGGGCGACAAUUCCAUGAUCAGCGCGAAGAGAAGAGGAUUCUGUCUCUCGGGGCCUCGCCGGAGUGCCGCCGUCCGGUCACCGGACCGCCGCCGCCGACCGCCAUGCACGGUGGUCGGAAAUUCAAAUCAUCACCAAAAUUAACAA
rnacentral:lncRNA from 1 species